AGAGUUUGAUCCUGGCUCAGGAUGAACGCUGGCGGCAUGCCUAAUACAUGCAAGUCGAACGAGAGGAAGGAAAGCUUGCUUUUCUGAAUCUAGUGGCGAACGGGUGAGUAACACGUAGGUAACCUGCCCAUGUGCCCGGGAUAACUUCUGGAAACGGAUGCUAAAACCGGAUAGGUAGCAGACAAGCAUUUGACUGCUAUUAAAGUGGCUUUGGCCAUGAACAUGGAUGGACCUGCGGUGCAUUAGCUGGUUGGUGAGGUAACGGCCCACCAAGGCGACGAUGCAUAGCCGGCCUGAGAGGGCGGACGGCCACAUUGGGACUGAGACACGGCCCAAACUCCUACGGGAGGCAGCAGUAGGGAAUUUUCGUCAAUGGGGGGAACCCUGAACGAGCAAUGCCGCGUGAGUGAGGAAGGUCUUCGGAUCGUAAAGCUCUGUUGUAAGAGAAAAACGGCACUCAUAGGGAAUGAUGAGUGAGUGAUGGUAUCUUACCAGAAAGUCACGGCUAACUACGUGCCAGCAGCCGCGGUAAUACGUAGGUGGCGAGCGUUAUCCGGAAUGAUUGGGCGUAAAGGGUGCGUAGGUGGCAGAUCAAGUCUGGAGUAAAAGGUAUGGGCUCAACCCGUACUGGCUCUGGAAACUGAUCAGCUAGAGAACAGAAGAGGACGGCGGAACUCCAUGUGUAGCGGUAAAAUGCGUAGAUAUAUGGAAGAACACCGGUGGCGAAGGCGGCCGUCUGGUCUGGAUUCUGACACUGAAGCACGAAAGCGUGGGGAGCAAAUAGGAUUAGAUACCCUAGUAGUCCACGCCGUAAACGAUGAGAACUAGGUGUUGGGGGAAUAACUCAGUGCCGUAGUUAACGCAGUAAGUUCUCCGCCUGGGGAGUAUGCACGCAAGUGUGAAACUCAAAGGAAUUGACGGGGGCCCGCACAAGCGGUGGAGUAUGUGGUUUAAUUCGAAGCAACGCGAAGAACCUUACCAGGGCUUGACAUCCUAC
rnacentral:rRNA from 1 species